UCUCUUUUAGUAAAUCAAUUAAACUGAUCUUCUAGUCCAAAAGCUAGAAUACUAACAUAAGACCAGAAGACCCUGUGAAGCUUUAACUAAACUACUAAACCAUAUAGUAGCUCCUUUCGGUUGGGGCGACCUUGGAAAAAAAAGGAACUUCCAAACACAAUAUAUCCUACUAUAUACCCUCAGGCUGACAAGCCUACUAACGACCCAGCACAGCUGAUAAUUGAACCAAGUUACUCCAGGGAUAACAGCGCUAUCUUCUUCAAGAGCCCAUAUCAAAAAGAAGGUUUACGACCUCGAUGUUGGAUCAGGACAUCCUAAUGGUGCAACCGCUAUUAAGGGUUCGUUUGUUCAACGAUUAACA
rnacentral:rRNA from 1 species